UACCGAUUGGAUGACUUAGUGAGGUCUUAGGACCGACGUAAAGGAGCUUUCGCGAGUUCUUUUUCGUUGGAAAUUUGAUCGAACUACGUUAUCUAGAGGAAGUAAAAGUCGUAACAAGGUUUCCGUAGGUGAACCUGCGGAAGGAUCAUUA
rnacentral:rRNA from 4 species